UAACUGAAGAGUUUGAUCAUGGCUCAGAUUGAACGCUGGCGGCAGGCUUAACACAUGCAAGUCGAGCGGGGAAAGGUAGCUUGCUACUGGACCUAGCGGCGGACGGGUGAGUAAUACUUAGGAAUCUGCCUAUUAGUGGGGGACAACGUUCCGAAAGGAGCGCUAAUACCGCAUACGCCCUACGGGGGAAAGCAGGGGAUCUUCGGACCUUGCGCUAAUAGAUGAGCCUAAGUCGGAUUAGCUAGUUGGUAGGGUAAAGGCCUACCAAGGCGACGAUCUGUAGCGGGUCUGAGAGGAUGAUCCGCCACACUGGGACUGAGACACGGCCCAGACUCCUACGGGAGGCAGCAGUGGGGAAUAUUGGACAAUGGGGGGAACCCUGAUCCAGCCAUGCCGCGUGUGUGAAGAAGGCCUUUUGGUUGUAAAGCACUUUAAGCGAGGAGGAGGAGCCCUA
rnacentral:rRNA from 1 species